GGCCCAGUAGCUCAGCAGGUCAGAGCAGCGGACUCAUAAUCCGUCGGUCGCGGGUUCAAGCCCCGCCUGGGCUA
rnacentral:tRNA from 2 species